AUGUCAUCGCUCGUCAUCCCUCGGCAUGUCGUCGGCUGGGAAUUACAAGGUCAAGUUCAUAUCGGAAAAUAUGACUCGAAGCCUCUCACUCACUUGCCCCAAUCUCCCCCUUUGAUUCAUCGGCAUCAUUUCAUAUGUGAACGUGGCCUCGCAGCAGGGAUGUCGGCCUACUACCAUGGCUGGGCAAUAACUCACCAGACGAAAAAUAGCACAUGCGCUAGUAACAUGAAAAUAAUAUAUAUCUUCUCUGUGAGCAUGCGCAACUCGACCCGUACGAUCCGCACAGGACCACUCGUGCCAGAGCAUGGUAUAAAUAUCGCGAUCAUGCUUAUGAGUUAGUUCAGUCAUAAUCAGUGAAAGAAUCAUAAAGGUGAUUGAGAGGAGACGAUAUCAGAACAGAUAGAAGAUUUGUAACGACGCGACCUGGGCCAUCGAUUGCUCUGUUUUUUGUUGAUAGUCUAUUUUUGCUCGUAUAAUUUUGUAAGCAGACGUUAUUUACAAUGCCUCAGAAUCAUAUUGAACAAGUGGUAUUGGCGCGAAGGCUGGAGUCAAGCGUCACUGUCAAUUUACUUGGUGCAUCUGUGACGUCACUAACGAUGAAUGGUGUGGAAAGGCUGUUUUUAAGUAAGUCAACGGUAUUGAACAACAAAACACCAAUUAGAAGUGGCAUUCCUUUAUUGUUGUCUCAGGACCCAGUACACGAUUUCUUCAGAUCAUCACAAU